UUCCUCUCCCCCGGACAGUCACCCUGGCAUGCAGGAGACGAGCUUCCACGAGCUUUUGCUGGAAGAUGUUGACAUGCUGCAGCCGCAGAUUCCAGACUCCAAAUAAAUCUUCAGUUGUCCGAUAAUCGUCUCCCCGCCAGCUUCUUCCCACCAAGCGCUGUUCCGUGGGGCCAGCUGAAAUGCAGACUCUACAGGAAGGAUGAUGGGCGAUCAGAGGAUCUUUCUGACCCAGGGGAUCGAACCUGCGUCUUCUGCAUCGGCAGGCGAGUUCUUUACCGCUGAGUCACUUGGGAAGCCUUGGCCGCUGGACCUCCAGGUAAGUCCCAGCAU
rnacentral:lncRNA from 1 species